ACUUCCGUUGAGUUCCGCCUCGCCGUUUGUCCCUUGCGGUACCCGUCCGCAUACGAAUCUAGCCCGGGAACCGAGUUGCGGGAGUGCGGUCUGUGCCGUUCCGGCCAGGAGUUUGCCGACUGCAGACGUCCUGCGAACCGUGGAUCAAUCUUCCUGUCCUACAACUGACAAAGGAUCCCCUAAAGACCCCUGGAAGGCUGGACCAUGGCACAAGAACUGCCUUCAUCCAUCACCGGGAGCAAGUGUGGAAGAGAUGCAUCAACAUUUGGCGUGAUGUGGGCCUUUUUGGGGUGCUAAAUGAAAUUGCAAACUCAGAAGAAGAGGGUAAGUAUUUUUCCCUCCAGCCUUCCCUAGUUUUGUGGUUAUCUCCUCUCCAUAUUCUUGAACUCACCCCCGACACCUGUUGGCUCAGCCUCUUUUAGCCCUAUUUUUCCUGUCCUCUCCUCUACCUACCCAAAUAACCCAGAGUGGGUGUCCAGAGUGGGUGUCCAGAGUGUGGUGUUGAGAGCACUUACUGGGCAGAAGGACCUGGGGAGUGCCUGUCCUUCCUUGUCUUUCACCUAGAAGGUACCUGGUAAGAGGCCUGUGAAUGGUUUAAUCAGAGCUGCUUCCUCAACCCUACAGUGU
rnacentral:lncRNA from 1 species